ensembl:miRNA microRNA 669f
UGUAUGUGCAUGUGUAUAUAGUUUUGUGUGCAUGUGCAUGUGUGUAUAUUAAUGUACAUAUACAUACACACAAACAUAUACACGCAUGCGCAGAUACAGACACAGAAAUGGCUCUCAUCGA